GAAGGCACAUGGGCCGGUAUUCACAGUCCGUGCUUAAGAAUAAGACCGUCUUAAGCAAAUGCUUAAGUCGCCGGUCCGGACUUAUUUGGGCGAAUAAGCAAAUGCUUGAGGCGACGUCUUAAGCAUUUGCUUGACCAAGCAAUUGCUCAGUUGGGAGGACUGUGCGCAUGCGCAGUCGAAUAAGCAAAUGCUUAUUCGAACAAGCAAAUGCUUAUUGGAAUAAGAAAUUCUUAUUCGACCGAAGGAAGUGCUUAUUGCUCGAAAAGUGAGGUUGGAUUUUCAAGUCGAGGUUUUACUCGACUUAAGACCACACGGACAGGUCACGUACAGGGCGUGAGCAUUAGUGUUAGUGAGCCGUCAAGCGUUUGGAAGUGUAGUUGUACGGAAAAAAUGGAUCUUGCGUCGAACGAAAUACAAAUUGAGUAUAUGGAAGACAUCGAAAAUGCUGAAAAUAUCGACGACGUUGAAGACAGCAUCAUGGACUUAAUUAAUAAUCCGAUCGUAAGGACGUAUAUCCGUGAUAGGCAAAAUCCAUUUGAAUAUUACGAUGGAUUGGAAUUUAAAAGACGGUACCGAUUCACUAACGAAUCGGUAUUACAUCGUAUUUUACUGAAAAUCCUUGACGAAUUGAAGAAAUUCAAUAAUCGUGGUCUGCCAAUUCCGCGACAGUUGCAAUUGUUCCUGUUUUUGUGAUAUUAUGCAAGUGCAAGUUUUCAGCCGGUGCUCGGACAUCUCGCAGCCCACGAUUUUCCGAAUAGUCAGGCGUGUCAACAAGGAUGAACAAUAUAGAUGAAGUCCUUAGAAAUCGAAAAGGAUACUUCUCACUGAAUGUGCAAGCGGUUGUUGGGCCCAGAAUGGCCAGGCAGUGCGAACUACUGCCGGAUUUUCCAGAACUCUCGUCUCGAAAUUGGAUGGGAUGCUGGUUGGUGACAGGGGAUAACGCUGUUUGCCAUUCUUAUUGAUCCCGAUCACAGAUGCCAGAACAAAUGAAGGAAUAACGUAUAAUAAUACCCAUGCGAGAACUAGUCGAAGGCUAGUGACCAGUGCGAAGUAUGCGCCAUGCUGCACAACAUCAUAUGCAGGGACAUGUUGCCAGAAAAUAACAAGGAGAAAACAGACAACUUGAAGUGCCAGUAUGGAAUAUUCAAAGUCUUUAACCUUCGAGCGGCUUAGCUGCUCGAGAGGCGUUAAUUGAACAUUUCUUCAAUUAAAUGUACGUGUAUAAAUAAAUUUGUAAAUUUGUAUACGUAAA